UCUUUUUUGGUUUUUGACGGAUUAUAUGAGAUUUUAUUGCUGUUAGUUUGAUGAAGUUCUCGAUUCAUGACCAUAUAUUUUUUCAACUUGUACCAUUUGGUUUCUGUUGACUUUUAACUCUGAGUUGUAAUGGUGCUUGUGUUUUCUAAAUUUCUUCCAAUAGCUUAGUUUUGGUAUUUUGUUUGUGUAUAUCUCUUCAAAGCAAUUCUCGGAGUUGCAAUCUUACCAGCUACGAAAAGGAAAGUUAUUGAGAAAAUUUGGAGAGAAGGGCCUCCUAAAUUAUUAUGGCCACCAUAAGCUAGUUUUGGGUCGUCGGAGGAAGAACUUAGUUGCUUGACAUUUUGAGGUAUUUCAGGAUCAUCCGUU